UGAGCCACCAUGUGGCUGCUGGGAUUUGAACUCAGGACCUCUUGAAGAGCAGUCAGUGCUCUUACCCGCUGAGCCAUCUCUCCAGCCUGACUUCCUAUUCUUUAAGGCUGAGCUCUUCCACAUGGCCUCCAGCCUCAUGUGCUCCCCUCUCCUAGCUUUGUCCUGACUGUCCACUCUGGACCCUCAGUGGGCAGUGGGUACCCCAGCUUGACCUGUGACAGUUUUGGCUUGCCUCUGAGAGAGAGAGGGAGAGAGAGAGAGAGAGAGAGAGAGAGAGAGAGAGAGAGAGCAUGCUAGUCAGCUCAGAACCACUGUCACUCAGGUUUCCUCCCGUGUAACAAAGACAACAACAUACUCAAUGCGCAAAGGAGCCAUGAAACAUCCCUCAAGCUCGUCCCCACACACUGUGCUGGAAUGUCUCAGCAGCGUGCUCGCCAGAGCUAGAAGGGACAGUCACCAAAUGCUGGCUAGUGGAGGACUGGACAGACAGAUGGUGCAGAUCCAUAUGAUAUACUCAUCCCAACAUCCACUCAGUACAAAGGGACCAUGGUGCUGCCCCAGGCUGCGGCCCACACACACAAAGAAUACACACAUAUGCAUACACAUAAAAAAAUACAAAACAAAAAACAGAGGUGUUGAUGCAAGGCUUUAAGCCCAGCAGUCAAGAGGUAGAGGCAGGCAGAUUGCUGGGAGCUGAAGUGUAGCCAGGGCUACCUAGCAAAGCACUGCCUUACAUAAAAAGAGUAACAAACAGAAGUUGAGACAGAGGUCAGAGGUCAGCACAUGGUCUGGCGUGUUCCCAGUCCUGGGCUCUAUUUUCAGCAGGCACCCACAGAUGCUGGGCCUCCCCGCACCGGUCACUCUGACUGCUGACCAUCACAUGGCAGAGAGCACUUUCUGGCUUCAGCCUGGAUGCCCCUUCCCCAGAGGGGCUCUCCUCAAUGCCUGCGAUGCACCUGGCCCUGCCUGCUGCCUGCCGUGUGCUCAUCUCGGAGGCUGAGCUCACUGUCCUCUAAACCAAAUAAAUGAGUAGAUGUCCUAAGACCACCCACCUGGCCCGCAGCUUCCUCCCUGCAGACGUGCAGGGCUGGCUGCGCUCCCUGGGCUUGCUGGAGGGUUUCUACACCAUGCUCCACUCCUUUCCUCGAUCUCUGGGUCUCCUGGGGUCAAGGUGGACAGAUGGACUGACAGAUGGCUGUGGGUCAGGCAGGGCAGGGCCCGAGCAGGCCAACCUGUGAGAACAGAAGUGCAGGUGAGGGGGUCAGGCUAACCGCCAAGUCUUCCCAUUUUUUGGACCUUAGUUUCCCCAUGCACCCAUGCAUCUUCCACAGGGGCAAGAGACCCUGCGUAUGGGCCUCAUAGUGCUGAUCCAGGUGGCGGUGACCCUGGAGUGUUAGCCUGCCACCACUCAGACAAGGGUCUGCGCCUUGGCUUGACUAGAGCCAGGCAUGAAGCUCUGCCCUAUUUUAUUCUGUUUUUAAUAUUACCUUAAAAAAGCAUUUUAACCUUUAGAGGUAAGGUCUCAUGCCCUGAACCCACUACGUAGCUGGGGAUGGUCCCGUACUUUUGAGCUUUCUGCUCUACCUUGUAAGGACUAGGAUCACAGGAGUGAGCCACUACUCCCAGCUCACUAUUACUUUCCUAGAAAUAUUCAAUUCAUGAAUCCAAGAACAGUUGUUAGCUUUAAAAAAAAAAAAUCUCUCCUUCCAUUGUGGGCAUCAGGGACCAAAUCUAGCUCAUCAAGCUUGUGUGGCAAGGACUUUUGGAAAAAAUGUGUAUAGGUGUUUUGCCUGAACGUAUGCCCGUGCACCACACGCAUUCCUGAUGGCCACAGAGGCCUGAAAAGGGCGUUGGAUGCCCUGGAAUUGGAGUUACAGAUGUUUGUGAGCAGCCACAUGGGUGCUGGGAAGUGGACCACUCAGGCGUGCCUUCAGCCCCAAUAGCAAGCGCUUUUACCGGCCCAUUCAUCUGGUUUACCCUGACUUCUGACUGAGAUUUACUUCUAAGGACAGAUCGGUGACCUCAACCGUAACAUGCUUUCUAUCUAACAUGCAGACCUGAGUUUGAUUUCCAGCAUCCUCACUCACAACAACAACAACAACAACAACAACAACAACAACAACAAAAACGGAGCUGGGCACCACAUCGUGGAUCAGUGGAGGCAGGAAGAGAUCCACGGGGCUUGUUGGACAGAAGCCAAGUCCCAAGGCAGGGAGAGACCCUAUCUAAAACAAGAAAGAGACCAGGAUGUCUAUAGAUUCAUCUACUUCUCCAGCACCAAACCUGCUGCCUCCUGCCGUGAUUGGUCCUGGUCUCACCCUCUGAUACUCGUGGGGAGAACUUCAAUGUCACCCAUUCUCGGCUAUGAAUCUGCAGCCAUCAAUAAAUAAUACCACUGCAGAAGCAGCUUUCCAGCCCACAGCAGAGAUCAGGGACAUCUGAUGGCAUGGCCGUUGGCGACUGCAAUGGUCAUAGACAUCAACAUGUCUCAAGAGGCAGCAGGGACCACAGACUGUAGCAUGGUCUCCAGUGGCAGCAGAGACCAUGGACCACAGAGGUCUUUCGAGGAGACUUAACCCAGAAAGCGAACCAUUGUUCAUCUCGCGUGCCUUCUUGUUGCUCACAGUCAGGGUGGUCAUGCGGCUGGCAGUGUGUUGGGGGCAGGCCCUGUGCGAGCUCCAGGCUGUGACAUACCACUCUGCCCUCCGCAUCGGCUGCCUGGCCAGUACCCUGGAGCAACCUUUGUGUUUACUGCGUUUCUAAGGAGUGUCACCUCCAGAAAGCCUCUCACCCCACAGCUCCCCCCACAGCUCUGUGACGGCAGGAGUCCCCUACUCUACUCUCCCACCCAGGCACUGUCCAUCAAGUCCUAGCUGGAUGAGUCUGGUGAGGGCAGGAGUCUGCGCAGCUGGGGAUGGUUUGCAUGGACACUGGGCUGAGGCUGCCUCUCAAACUCUGCAGUUGGCUCCGGAGGUCACUCACCUUGCCCAGUCCCUCUGCACGGCUGGGAUGGACAGGUGCUCUGCAGGUGCUGGCUGAGGAGGAGGCCCUAGCGGCCUAGUUCCCUGGUUAGCUACUCUUUCCCCUCUGAGGAGCUGCCCCCAGAGCCCAAGCCAUGCCAGCUGGGGACACCCGCCCCCCAGACACACUCCCCCACCCCACCUCCCUAGCCAAUCUCGACAUGGAAAAGGCAGACAUGACUCAUAACCACAGGACAGAGGGAGUUAACAAUCUCCUGGACAACCUCGGGGUCCCCUAGAAAGUAGUCUGAUGGCAGGGGUGGGUCAGAGAUGGUAAGGAGUUCAUGCCAGGAAAGUCUCUACCACCAUCUGCAAAGACAGCACGGAGCUUCCGGUGAUGGUCUGUAAACUGCCGCUCUGUGCCUCAGUUUCCCUCUCUGCGGUUGGACAAGGUGAUGGCUCAGACCUGCUGACCAUAGACAGCUUGAAUAAUGAAGGUUUUUCUCUGCUACUUUC